rnacentral:rRNA from 1 species
GACGUAGGGCGCAAGCGUUUGUCCGGAUUUAUUGGGCGUAAAGAGCUCGUAGGCGGCUUGUUGCGUCGGCUGUGAAAACCCGUGGCUUAACUGCGGGCUUGCAGCCGAUACGGGCGGGCUGGAGUUCGGUAGGGGAGGACUGGAAUUCCAGGUGUAGCGGUGAAAUGCGUAGAUAUCUGGAGGAACACCGGUGGCGAAGGCGACUCUUUGGCCUGUAACUGACACUGAGGCGCGAAAGCGUGGGGAGCAAACAGGGA